rnacentral:lncRNA from 1 species
GUGCCGUGAGCGUGUGCCCGCGGUUCGGGGGAUGAGUAGGGGCGCUGACUUUUAGGACCAGCCAUUUGAGUCAAGCUGGAGACGACGUCUUAGAACCUAGGAUGAGUCUCGUUUGGUUUUAGUCUGCAAAGCUCGUCUGCAUCAGACAGGAAUUUUCCCCAGACGCGGGUGCACGUGAAUUAAUUCAUCAGAAGGCGGUUCACGGCCUGAGUGAGGGGGACGAGGGCGGCGAAUUCCUCCGCCUCAUUCCUACCCUGACGAUUCGAGAUGCUCGCUUCACCCCACUGAGAUGUAACUCAGUUUUGUGGGAUCCCACUGCCCUCCAGGUGCCGCUCCGAGUGCUCUACACAGAUUUUCAUUCAGUCCUUGCGGCACACGAAGAGUGGCUGUACCAUUUUGCAUUCCCAGACCGAAGUGUGAAAGCUCCAGAUGCCCCACGCCCUCACCAGCCCACGGUGUUGUCAGCCUUAAUAGUGCUGACCAUUCUGGUGGGUUUGCAGUGUAUCUCAUUGUGUUUUAAUUUGCAUUACCUUGACAACUAAUGGCGUUGAGACUUUCAUAUAUCUUUAGUAAAGAGUCCUUCCAAAUCCUCUGCCGAUUUUUUAAAAAUUGGGUUGUCUUCUUGUAAUUGAGUUGUAAGAAUUCUUUAUACGUUCUGAACAUGUUAUUUAUUGGAUAAAUGUUUCGCAAGUAUUUUCUCCCAGUCUUUGACCUACUUUUUCAUCUUCUUAUCAAGAGCUUUUAAAAAGCAAAACUUUACAUUUUGAUGACAUCCAAUUAUUACUUUUUUCUUUUAUGUUUUUUGUGUAUUAUUUAGGAAAUAAUUGUCUGAACCAAGAUUACAAAUAUUUUCUUGUCUUUCAGAAGUUUUGUGGUUUUAGCUCCUAAGUGUACAUCUGUGAUCCAUUUUGAAUUAAUUUUUGUAUAUGGUAUGAUGUAAUGGUCAAGGUUUUUAUUUUUGCAUAUGGAUAUACAGUUGUUCCAGUACCAUUUCUUGAAAAUAAUUACCAGUACCAUUAAGUUACCUUGGUACUUUUAUUGAAAAUCAAUUGACUCUCAGUUCUGACCCAUCGACUUAUAUGUCUGUUUUUUUUUGUUUUUUUUUUUUUUUUGAGAUGGAGUCUCACUCUGUUGCCCAGGCUGGAGUGCAGUGGUGCUGUCUGGGCUCACUGCAACCUCUGCUCCCAGGUUCAAGCGAUUCUCCUACCCCAGCCUCCUGAGUAGCUGGAAUUACAGGCAUGUGCCACCACACCCAGCUAAUUUUUGUAUUUUUAGUAGAGACGGAGUUUCACCAUGUUGGUUAGGCUGGUCUUGAACUCCUGACCUCGUGAUUCACCUGCCUCGGCCUCCCAAAGUGCUGGGAUUACAGGCGUGAGCCACCGUGCCUGGCCAUGUCUGUUCUUAUGCUAACAUCACAGUAUCUGGAUUAUUGUAGCUCCAUAAUGAAUGCUGGAAUCAGGUAAUGUGAGUCCUCCAACAUUUUUACUCUUUUUCAAAAUAAUUUGACUAUUUUAGGUCCUUUGCAUGUCCAUACAGAUUUUAGACUCAGCUUGUCAAUUUCUACCCAAAAAUGUCUGAUUGAGAUUGUAUUGAACCUAUAUCUUAAUUUGGGGAUAAUUAGUAUGUUAGCAAUAUUGAAUCUUCUAACCUACAUUUACUUAGUCUUCAUUAAUUUAUCUCAUCAAUAUUUUGUAGUUUUCAGUGCACAGGCUUUGCACACAUUUUGUUAAAUUUCCCUAUAAGGAUUUCAUAUUUUUAUAUUUUUCAUUUUGUAAAUGUUAAUUUAAAGGAAUAAGACACCCUCUUUUUUUUCUUUCUUUUUUUCUGGUUUUUUUGUUUGUUUGUUUGUUUUGUUUUUAUAGAGACAAGGUCCCACUAUUUUGCCCAGGCUGGUCUCGAACUCCUGGGCUCAAGCAGUCCUCCCACCUCAGCCUCUCAAAGUGCUGGGAUUACAGGCAGGAGCCACCACACCUGGCCAGAUACCCUCAUUAGAUUUUUGUGUCUAUUCUGAUUUCUUUAAAGUAACAUUUACUUUAAUAAAUGUUACUAUAUAAACAUAUAGCAUUAAUAUAAAAUUGUUUGUUACUGGUACAUAUAAAUACAAUUAACUUUUUAGAUUGCCCUCUUACCCUGUGACCUUGUUAAAUUCACUAAUUCUAGCAGCCGCUUUUGUGUAUUUGGUAAGAUUUUCUACAUAGACAAUCAUGCCACAGGUAAAUAGAACCCAUUUUACUGCUUCCUUUCCAAGCUGCAUGCUUUUUUUUUUUCUUGCUUUAUUGCAUUGGCUAGGUCCUCAUGCAUAAUAGUGAAUAGAAGUAAUGAGAGUAAACACCCUUGCCUUGUUUCUUGUCUUAGUGGGAAACCAUUUGGUCUUUCACCCUUAAGUAUAAUGUAAGCUGUAGUUUUUUUGUAGAUGCCUUUUAUCAGGUUGAAAUCUAUUUCUGUUUUGAGUGUUUUUAUCAUGAACCGUUGAUGAAUCUUGUCAAAUGCUUUUUUCCUCGUCUUUUGAGAUUAUCAUAUGGUUUUUCUUUUUCAGCCUGUUAAUAUGAUGAAUUACACUGAUUCAGUUUCAAAUGUCCAACCAAGCUUGCACUCCAGAGAUGAAGCCCACUUGAUCACAUGGAUUAUUCUUUUAAUAUAUGAUGGAUACGACUUGGCUGUUCUUUUGUUGAGGAUUUUUGUGUUUAUGUUAAUGAGGAUAUUAUUUGUAGUUUUCUUUUCUUGUAAUGUUUUUGUCUUUGUUCAGUGUCAGAGUAAUGCCAACUUCAUAAAGUGAGCUGGGAAGUACUCCCUCAUUUUCUGUUUUCUGUGAAAGAAUUGUAUAGAAUUGAUGUUAUUUCUUCCUUAAGUGUUGAGUAGAAUUCACUUGCAAAGCCAUCUGAGGUUGACAUCUUCUUUGGGAAUGACUUUAGCUAUAAAUUCAAUUUAUUUAACAGAUAUAGGGCUAUUAAGGUUAUUUAAUUUUUUUCUUGAAUGAGCUUUAGUGUCCUGUGUUUUUCAAGGAAUUUUUCCAUUUUAUUUAAGUUUUUAGAUUUGUUGGCAUAAAGUUAUCCCAAUAUUUCCUUAGAAGUUGUGACUUUUACUGCAUAUAAAACAUACCUCAAUAAAGCUAAUACAUACAUAUAUAUAUAUGAAUCAUUUCUGGCCAGGUACAGUGGCUCAUGCCUGUAAUCCCAGCACUUUGGGAGGCAGAGGCAGGUGGAUCACCUGAGAUCAGGUGUUCCAGACCAGCCUGG